rnacentral:rRNA from 1 species
UCGAACCUCGGGGAUCCUUUACGUGCCGGCGCGCCUCCUACAUUAUACAGUGAACCUGCGGAAGGAUCAUUAAAUCAGUUAUCGUUUAUUUGAUAGUUUUUUACAUGGAUAACCGUGAUAACUUCAGAACUAAUACAUGACAGCCUUUUGGCGUAUAUAUUAGAUACAAACCAACUUUUUGGUGAUUCAUAAUAUCUUGUCGAACCGAUCUUCGGUGUAUCAUUCAAAUUUCUGCCCUAUCAACUGUCGAUGGUAGGAUCGUGGCCUACCAUGGUAACAACGGGUAACGGGGAAUCAGGGUUCUAUUCCGGAGAGGGAGCCUGAGAAACGGCUACCACAUCCAAGGAAGGCAGCAGGCGCGCAAAUUACCCAAUCCUGACACAGGGAGGUAGUGACAAUAUAUAACGAUCCGGGGCACUUUGUGUUUCGGAAUUGGAAUGAGUACAAUUUAAACACCUUAACGAGGAACAAUUGGAGGGCAAGUCUGGUGCCAGCAGCCGCGGUAAUUCCAGCUCCAAUAGCGUAUAUUAAUGUUGUUGCAGUUAAAAAGCUCGUAGUUGAAAUUGGAGGUUUAUUCGUUUAAACCUCUCUGAAAGAAAUUCUUUCCGUUACUUUGAAAAAAUUAGAGUGUUCAACGCAGGUUUCGCCUGAAUAUAUUAGCAUGGAAUAACAUAACACGACGAGGGUCCAUUUUGUUGGCUUGCAAACCCACGUAAUGAUUAAUAGGGACAGUCGGGGGCGUCAGUAUUGUGUGUCAGAGGUGAAAUUCUUGGAUUUACACAAGACUAACUACUGCGAAGGCAUUCGCCAAGGAUGUAUUCAUUAAUCAAGAACGAAAGUUAGGGGAUCAAAGAUGAUCAGAUACCGUCGUAGUCUUAACCGUAAACUAUGCCGACUGAGAAUGGGCAGCGCUUUUACGUUGUCCGCGCUCUACGAGAAAUCAAAGUGAUCAGGUUCUGGGGGGAGUAUGGUCGCAAGGCUGAAACUUAAAGGAAUUGACGGAAGGGCACCACCAGGAGUGGAGCCUGCGGCUUAAUUUGACUCAACACGGGGAAACUCACCAGGUCCAGACACAAUAAGGAUUGACAGAUUGAUAGCUCUUUCUUGAUUUUGUGGGUGGUGGUGCAUGGCCGUUCUUAGUUGGUGGAGUGAUUUGUCUGCUUAAUUGCGAUAACGAACGAGACCUUGACCUACUAAAUAGCUCUACUUGCGAUUGCAGGUAGCUAGCUUCUUAGAGGGACUAUCUAUUACAAGUAGAUGGAAGUUCGAGGCAAUAACAGGUCUGUGAUGCCCUUAGACGUUCUGGGCCGCACGCGCGCUACACUGACGGAGCCAGCGAGUUGGCCAAGCCCGAGAGGGCUAGGUAAUCUUGUGAAACUCCGUCGUGCUGGGGAUAGAGCAUUGCAAUUAUUGCUCUUCAACGAGGAAUUCCUAGUAAGCGCAAGUCAUCAGCUUGCGUUGAUUACGUCCCUGCCCUUUGUACACACCGCCCGUCGCUACUACCGAUUGAAUGGUUUAGUGAGACCUUGGGAGGGAAUGAGGCUGGGGGCCAGGUUGAGCCGACUUCGCAGAAAUAGGUCAAACCUGAUUACUAGAGCAAGCACUACUUAGCUUUUGUUAUG